rnacentral:rRNA from 1 species
AUUGAACGCUGGCGGCAUGCUUUACACAUGCAAGUCGAACGGUAACAGGCCGCAAGGUGCUGACGAGUGGCGAACGGGUGAGUAAUGCAUCGGAACGUGCCCAGUCGUGGGGGAUAACGCAGCGAGAGCUGCGCUAAUACCGCGUACGAUCUAUGGAUGAAAGCGGGGGACCGUAAGGCCUCGCGCGAUUGGAGCGGCCGAUGUCAGAUUAGGUAGUUGGUGGGGUAAAGGCUCACCAAGCCAACGAUCUGUAGCUGGUCUGAGAGGACGACCAGCCACACUGGGACUGAGACACGGCCCAGACUCCUACGGGAGGCAGCAGUGGGGAAUUUUGGACAAUGGGCGCAAGCCUGAUCCAGCAAUGCCGCGUGCAGGAAGAAGGCCUUCGGGUUGUAAACUGCUUUUGUACGGAACGAAACGGUCCUGGUUAAUACCUGGGGCUAAUGACGGUACCGUAAGAAUAAGCACCGGCUAACUACGUGCCAGCCGCCGCCGUAA